rnacentral:rRNA from 1 species
AGCAGCCGCGGUAAUUCCAGCUCCAAUAGCGUAUAUUAAAGUUGUUGCAGUUAAAAAGCUCGUAGUUGAAUUUCGGGAUCAAUUUAUCGGUCGUGCCAAUGGUAUGAACUGGUACAAUUGGUUUCUCCCUUCUGACGAAGCAUGAUGUCAUUAAUUUGGUGUCGUGGGGAAUCAGGACUGUUACUUUGAAAAAAUUAGAGUGUUUAAAGCAGGCAUUAGCUUGAAUACAUUAGCAUGGAAUAAUGAAAUAGGACGUUUGAUCCUAUUUCGUUGGUUUCUAGGAUCGACGUAAUGAUUAAUAGGGAUAGUUGGGGGCAUUAGUAUUCAAUUGUCAGAGGUGAAAUUCUUGGAUUUAUUGAAGACUAACUACUGCGAAAGCAUUUGCCAAGGAUGUUUUCAUUAAUCAAGAACGAAAGUUAGGGGAUCGAAGACGAUCAGAUACCGUCGUAGUCUUAACCAUAAACUAUGCCGACUAGGGAUCGGAUGAUGUUAAUUUUUUAAUGACUCAUUCGGCGCCUUACG